rnacentral:pre_miRNA from 1 species
UCUUAUAGAUGAGCAAAGAGAGUAGUUUUUUGGAAUCUACUCCUGGUGAAGAUGCUGUGAA